rnacentral:misc_RNA from 1 species
UCUCCGUAGGUGAGCCUGCGGAGGGAUCAUUACUGAGCGAGGGUUUAACCGCCCGACCUCCAACCCUUUGUGAACACAUCUUGUUGCUUCGGGGGCGACCCUGCCGGCACUCUGUCGCCGGGCGCCCCCGAAGGCCUCCAAACACUGCAUCUUUGCGUCGGAGUUUAAAACAAAUGAAACAAAACUUUCAACAACGGAUCUCUUGGUUCUGGCAUCGAUGAAGAACGCAGC